rnacentral:rRNA from 1 species
UACGGAGGGUGCGAGCGUUGUCCGGAAUCAUUGGGCGUAAAGGGCGCGUAGGUGGCCUGCUAAGCGUGCGGUGAAAGUCGGGGGCUCAACCCCCGAUCGGCCGUGCGAACUGGGAGGCUUGAGCACUGUAGAGGCAGGCGGAAUUCCAGGUGUAGCGGUGGAAUGCGUAGAGAUCCGGAAGAACACCGGUGGCGAAGGCGGCCUGCUGGGCAGUUUUGCUGACACUGAGGCGCGACAGCGUGGGGAGCAAACAGG